rnacentral:rRNA from 1 species
AUGAACGCUGGCGGCGUGCCUAAUACAUGCAAGUCGAGCGAACAGACGAGGAGCUUGCUCCUCUGACGUUAGCGGCGGACGGGUGAGUAACACGUGGAUAACCUACCUAUAAGACUGGGAUAACUUCGGGAAACCGGAGCUAAUACCGGAUAAUAUAUUGAACCGCAUGGUUCAAUAGUGAAAGACGGUUUUGCUGUCACUUAUAGAUGGAUCCGCGCCGCAUUAGCUAGUUGGUAAGGUAACGGCUUACCAAGGCGACGAUGCGUAGCCGACCUGAGAGGGUGAUCGGCCACACUGGAACUGAGACACGGUCCAGACUCCUACGGGAGGCAGCAGUAGGGAAUCUUCCGCAAUGGGCGAAAGCCUGACGGAGCAACGCCGCGUGAGUGAUGAAGGUCUUCGGAUCGUAAAACUCUGUUAUUAGGGAAGAACAAAUGUGUAAGUAACUAUGCACGUCUUGACGGUACCUAUCAGAAAGCCACGGCUAACUACGUG